UAGACUGAUAUUUUAGUGUUUUGUGUACAACAAAAAGCCAAACAAGAGCACGUUAAUUAGAUAAAAUUCCGAAUUAGUUUAAACUUGUGUGAGCUACUUUCUUAACAAUAUUUGGGUGUUUUAAAAAAAAAAAGUUGUGUUGUUUUGUAAUCGUAAACAUUCCAAUUUAAUUUAAAUAUAAUUACCAGUUAUUUUAAUUAAAAAAAACUAGUUCUGCUUUUAAAUAUUCCCUUUGAACUUUUGCGGUUUCAAAAAAAAAAGUUAAUGAAGUGAUAUCUGUUUUUCAAAUAAAAAUUUGUGCGACCAAUUAAUUGUCCAUUUAGGGGGCGAAGUGUGUUCAUGGCUGUGGUGGGCCCAAGUAGGCACUCACGGGUGUCAAUGUCCGUCUCAAUGUCGAGUUCGGGGGCAGCGCCCGGCGGUAAUGGUGGUGCAACAGCACAACAAGCAAUUCUUGCAUCUCAACAACCCUACGCGUAUCACCAUCAUACAGCAUCAACGGGUGCCACUACACAACAUGGGGCCCCUACUGCCGCUAUUCCACCGGCUCAAGCACAACAGGCACAUACACAACCGGAUCCAGUUCAACCAGAUAGACCCAUUGGAUAUGGUGCUUUUGGAGUUGUUUGGGCGGUGACCGAUCCACGUGAUGGACGUCGUGUUGCAUUAAAAAAAUUACCAAAUGUAUUUCAAUCACUUGUCUCAUCGAAACGAGUGUUUCGUGAAUUAAAAAUGUUAUGCUUUUUCAAACAUGAAAAUGUACUUUCGGCAUUGGAUAUUCUUCAACCUCCACAUUUAGACUUCUUCCAAGAAAUAUACGUUAUAACAGAAUUACUGCAAAGUGAUUUACAUAAAAUUAUUGUAUCACCGCAACAUCUUUCAUCGGAUCAUAUCAAAGUGUUCCUGUACCAAAUACUUAGAGGACUGAAAUAUUUACACUCAGCUAGAAUUUUACAUAGGGACAUUAAACCAGGAAAUUUACUUGUGAACAGUAAUUGUGUAUUAAAGAUCUGUGAUUUUGGCUUAGCACGUGUAGAAGAACCCGAUCAAAGUAAACAUAUGACACAAGAGGUGGUAACACAGUAUUAUCGUGCACCCGAAAUAUUAAUGGGUGCACGACAUUAUUCGGCUGCCGUUGAUGUAUGGAGUGUUGGUUGUAUAUUUGGUGAAUUAUUAGGUCGUAGAAUAUUAUUUCAAGCACAAAGUCCUGUACAACAGUUGGAAUUAAUCACUGAAUUAUUGGGUACACCAUCACCGGAUGAUAUGCGUUACGCAUGUGAGGGAGCACGUACACAUAUGCUACGUAAAGCGCAUAAACCGUCUAAGUUAUCUGCAUUAUAUUCAUUAUCUGGGCAAGCAACACAUGAAGCUGUACAUUUAUUAUGUCAAAUGCUUGUAUUUGAUCCGGAUCGACGUAUAACAGUUGUAAACGCUUUAGCACACCCGUAUCUUGACGAAGGACGUUUACGAUACCAUUCAUGUAUGUGUAAAUGUUGUUACACGACAGCCGGUGGUAUGCGACAAUAUACAGCUGACUUUGAAACUAUUGCACAACAACCAUUUGAUGAUUUGUGGGAGCGAAAACUUACAUCCGUUCAACAAGUUAAAGAGGAAAUGCACAAGUUUAUAGCGGAACAAUUAAAUACAUCACGUGUACCAUUAUGUAUAAAUCCGCAAAGUGCAGCUUUCAAGAGCUUCGCCAGGUAAGAGGCGCGCGCACGGGCGGGUCAACAACAUUCAAGUGUAACGAACGGCCGUACCCACCACCACCACAAAAAAACACCACCAAUAAUUAUAAAAAUAAUAUCACCCAAAAAACCAUCUCCACAAAAUCAAAAUAUAAAAUCACCAUUAUCGCGCGGCGCCAACAUUCUCCAUUGCAUAGAAAAGGGAAAAAUUGCUCCCCUUUCAAGACAACAAUUAAAAUCCUCAUGUCACCCGUCAUCUUUUUAUAUGCCGCGUGACACACGACAUUUCAUUUCUACUUCUCUUCACCAUACCAGACCACACAUCGAUUCAAAAUUUCGUUCACGAAUAUAGUUUCU